rnacentral:rRNA from 1 species
AACGAACGCUGGCGGCAUGCCUAACACAUGCAAGUCGAACGAGAUCUUCGGGUCUAGUGGCGCACGGGUGCGUAACGCGUGGGAAUAUGCCUAUUGGUACGGAACAGCUCCGGGAAACUGGAAUUAAUACCGUAUGGUCCCUUCGGGGUAAAGAUUUAUCGCCAAUAGAUUAGCCCGCGGUGGAUUAGCUAGUUGGUAGGGUAAUGGCCUACCAAGGCGACGAUCCAUAGCUGGUCUGAGAGGACGAUCAGCCACACUGGGACUGAGACACGGCCCAGACUCCUACGGGAGGCAGCAGUUAGGAAUAUUGGACAAUGGGCGCAAGCCUGAUCCAGCCAUGCCGCGUGAGUGAUGAAGGCCUUCGGGUUGUAAAACUCUUUAGCCGAUGAAUAUAAUGACUGUAGUCGGAAAAUAAGCCCCGGCUAACUUCGUGCCAGCCGCCGCGGUAA